ACAGGAUUAGAUACCCUGGGUAGUCCACGCCGUAAACGAUGAGUGCUAAGUGUUGGAGGGUUUCCGCCCUUCAGUGCUGCAGCUAACGCAUUAAGCACUCCGCCUGGGGAGUACGACCGCAAGGUUGAAACUCAAAGGAAUUGACGGGGGCCCGCACAAGCGGUGGAGCAUGUGGUUUAAUUCGAAGCAACGCGAAGAACCUUACCAGGUCUUGACAUCCUUUGACCACUCUAGAGAUAGAGCUUCCCCUUCGGGGGCAAAGUGACAGGUGGUGCAUGGUUGUCGUCAGCUCGUGUCGUGAGAUGUUGGGUUAAGUCCCGCAACGAGCGCAACCCUUAUUGUUAGUUGCCAUCAUUUAGUUGGGCACUCUAGCAAGACUGCCGGUGACAAACCGGAGGAAGGUGGGGAUGACGUCAAAUCAUCAUGCCCCUUAUGACCUGGGCUACACACGUGCUACAAUGGGAAGUACAACGAGUCGCAAAGUCGCGAGGCUAAGCUAAUCUCUUAAAGCUUCUCUCAGUUCGGAUUGUAGGCUGCAACUCGCCUACAUGAAGCCGGAAUCGCUAGUAAUCGCGGAUCAGCACGCCGCGGUGAAUACGUUCCCGGGCCUUGUACACACCGCCCGUCACACCACGAGAGUUUUGUAACACCCGAA
rnacentral:rRNA from 1 species